UACGUAGGGAGCGAGCGUUGUCCGGAUUUAUUGGGCGUAAAGAGCGCGUAGGCGGCUCGGUAAGCCGGAUGUGAAACCUCCAAGCUCAACUUGGAGCGGCCAUUCGGAACUGCUGUGGCUAGAGUCUGGUAGGGGAACACGGAAUUCCUGGUGUAGCGGUGAAAUGCUUAGAUAUCAGGAGGAACACCAGUGGCGAAGGCGGCGCACUGGACCAUAACUGACGCUGAGGCGCGAAAGCUAGGGGAGCAAACAGG
rnacentral:rRNA from 1 species